GGCUCAGAACGAACGCUGGCGGCAUGGAUUAGGCAUGCAAGUCGAACGAAGCAGCAAUGCUUAGUGGCGCAAGGGUGAGGAACACGUGAGUGACCUGCCCGCAAGUUUGGAACAGCUCCUGGAAACGGGAAUUAAUACCGGAUGUGAUCAUAGAGCUGCAUGGUUUUAUGAUUAAAGCAGUAAUGCGCUUGCGGAUGGGCUCGCGUCCCAUUAGCUAGUUGGUGAGGUAACGGCCCACCAAGGCCAUGAUGGGUAGCUGGUCUGAGAGGACGACCAGCCACACUGGGACUGAGAACUGCCCAGACUCCUACGGGAGGCUGCAGUCGAGAAUUUUGGGCAAUGGACGAAAGUCUGAACCCCCAGCAAUGCCGCGUGCGGGAUGAAGGUCUUCGGAUUGUAAACCGCUGUUUGGAGGGACGAAAAUUGACGGUACUUCCAGAGAAAGCCACGGCUAACUACGUGCCAGCAGCCGC
rnacentral:rRNA from 1 species